CGUAGGUGGCGAGCGUUGUCCGGAUUUACUGGGCGUAAAGAGCGCGCAGGCGGUCGUACAAGUCGCGUGUGAAAGCCCCUGGCUCAACUGGGGAGGGUCACGCGAUACUGUUCGACUCGAAGGCAGGAGAGGGAAGUGGAAUUCCCGGUGUAGUGGUGAAAUGCGUAGAUAUCGGGAGGAACACCAGUGGCGAAGGCGACUUCCUGGCCUGUUCUUGACGCUGAGGCGCGAAAGCUAGGGUAGCAAACGGGAUUAGAUACCCCGGUAGUCCUAGCCGUAAACGAUGGACACUAGGUGUUGGUGGUAUCAACCCCGCCAGUGCCGAAGCUAACGCAUUAAGUGUCCCGCCUGGGGAGUACGGCCGCAAGGCUA
rnacentral:rRNA from 1 species